rfam:Picea glauca, whole genome shotgun sequence.
GGGCAUGUGGCUCAAUGGUAGAGCAGCACACUAGCCAGGGGCAGGUCAUCCAGGGUUUGAUUCCUAGCCUGUCCA